rnacentral:rRNA from 1 species
AUUGAACGCUGGCGGCAGGCUUAACACAUGCAAGUCGAACGAGUGGCGGACGGGUGAGUAAUGCUUGGGAAUCUAGCUUAUGGAGGGGGAUAACUACGGGAAACUGUAGCUAAUACCGCGUACCAUAGGAUGAGCCCAAGUGGGAUUAGGUAGUUGGUGAGGUAAAGGCUCACCACGCCGACGAUCCCUAGCUGUUCUGAGAGGAUGACCAGCCAAACUGGGACUGCGACACGGCCCAGACGCUGACGUGAGGCAGAAUGGGGGAAUAUUGCGCAAUGGGGGCAACCUGACGCAGCCAUGCCGCGUGAAUGAAGAAGGCCUUCGGGUUGUAAAGUUCUGGCGGUAGCGAGGCGUUAACUACAGAAGAAGCACCGGCUAACUCCGUGCCAGCAGCCGCGGUAAUAC